rnacentral:rRNA from 1 species
AGAGUUUGAUCCUGGCUCAGAAUCAACGCUGGCGGCGUGCCUAGCACAUGCAAGUCGAAUGAGAAAGUGGGGGCAACUCCAUGAGUAAAGUGGCGACCGGGUGAGUAACACGUGACUAACCUACCUUUGAGUGGGGAAUAUCCUCGGGAAACCGGGGUUAAUACCGCAUAACACCGAGAGGUCAAAGGAGCAAUCCGCUUGAAGAGGGGGUCGCGGCUGAUUAGCUAGUUGGUAGGGUAAUGGCCUACCAAGGCUGUGAUCAGUAUCCGGCCUGAGAGGGCGCACGGACACACUGGAACUGAAACACGGUCCAGACUCCUACGGGAGGCAGCAGUGGGGAAUUUUGCACAAUGGGGGAAACCCUGAUGCAGCAACGCCGCGUGGAGGAUGAAGCCCCUUGGGGCGUAAACUCCUUUCGAUCGGGACGAUUAUGACGGUACCGGAUGAAGAAGCACCGGCUAACUCUGUGCCAGCAGCCGCGGUAAUACAGAGGGUGCAAGCGUUGUUCGGAAUUAUUGGGCGUAAAGGGUGCGUAGGCGGUGCGGUAAGUCUUUUGUGAAAUCUCCGGGCUCAACUCGGAGCCUGCAAGGGAAACUGCCGUGCUGGAGUAUGGGAGAGGUGAGUGGAAUUCCUGGUGUAGCGGUGAAAUGCGUAGAUAUCAGGAGGAACACCUGUGGCGAAAGCGGCUCACUGGACCAUUACUGACGCUGAUGCACGAAAGCUAGGGGAGCAAACAGGAUUAGAUACCCUGGUAGUCCUAGCCCUAAACUAUGAUUGCUUGGUGUAGCGGGUACCCAAUCCCGCCGUGCCGGAGCUAACGCGAUAAGCAAUCCGCCUGGGGAGUACGGUCGCAAGGCUGAAACUCAAAGGAAUUGAUGG